GACGAACGCUGGCGGCGUGCUUAACACAUGCAAGUCGAACGGUGAAGCUCCAGCUUGCUGGAGUGGAUCAGUGGCGAACGGGUGAGUAACACGUGAGCAACCUGCCCCUGACUCUGGAAUAAGCGCUGGAAACGCCGUCUAAUACUGGAUAUGAGAAGGGUCCGCAUGGACACUUUCUGGAAAGUUUUUCGGUUGGGGAUGGGCUCGCGGCCUAUCAGCUUGUUGGUGAGGUAAUGGCUCACCAAGGCGACGACGGGUAGCCGGCCUGAGAGGGCGACCGGCCACACUGGGACUGAGACACGGCCCAGACUCCUACGGGAGGCAGCAGUGGGGAAUAUUGCACAAUGGGCGAAAGCCUGAUGCAGCGACGCCGCGUGAGGGAUGACGGCCUUCGGGUUGUAAACCUCUUUCAGCAGGGAAGAAGCGAAAGUGACGGUACCUGCAGAAGAAGCACCGGCUAACUACGUG
rnacentral:rRNA from 1 species